CUCUUGCUAUAUCUCUCAGAAAGAUCUUCUUGACCCUAACCAGUCAGGCUCAACCGAGACUGCUGUCCUCUGUCAAGGAGGCUCUCCGCACUGCCAAAUCUGACUCUCUCUCUGUUCUCAUUCUCCUAAAUCUAUCCGCUGUGAACCAUCAGAUCCUCCUCUCCAUCCAACAGGGCUGGGAAUCGCAGGCUCUUCACACCCUUGGAUUGCAUCCUACCUGGCAGGUUGCUCCUACCAGGUGGUGUACUUCCACAACUCUCUUUCUGCCAAUCGUGGUGUCUGUGGUGGAGCUGGUGGAGUUACAGCCCAGGGCAGAUGGCUCCCAGCAAGCACUGGGGUGCUGCUAAGACAUCCUGCACCUCUUCUCAGCAGGUCAGAACCUCAGGCAGCUGAGGGGGACAGAAGGCUAAGUUUGUACCACGAAACACCCAGGACCCUGCUCCAUCUACUGCCGAGGGAUCCUAGCAAGCGU